rnacentral:rRNA from 1 species
UACGUAUGGUGCAAGCGUUAUCCGGAUUUACUGGGUGUAAAGGGAGCGCAGGCGGCACGGCAAGCCUGAUGUGAAAGCCCGCGGCCCAACCGCGGGACUGCAUUGGGAACUACCGGGCUGGAGUGCCGGAGAGGUAGGCGGAAUUCCUAGUGUAGCGGUGAAAUGCGCAGAUAUUAGGAGGAACACCAGUGGCGAAGGCGGCCUACUGGACGGUGACUGACGCUGAGGCUCGAAAGCGUGGGGAGCAAACAGG